UGCACUACGACCUAGACCUUCAUGAAGGUUGAUCUAAGCUUUGGGGCCUGACUUUAGGUAAAGAGCACUCUUCUUCCUGGGCCAGACACCCUGAGACUAAUGCCUUUGAUUCUUGAGAAUCUAAGGAUCACAAGUCAGGAGCCGCUUAGCAAGCCAGUCUCAAAGGACCUUCUCAGGACCAUGCUUGGUAGACUGGUCCAGUGGAAGGAGCACAAGCCUGGGAUUUGGAAGACCUAGACUCUCCAGGCUUGAGGCUGCAUCAAAAUCCAUAUGGUUCCCCACCUGCAAAAUGGAGAGAAUGAUACCCAAGUUUCUCCUCUCAAAGGGUUGUUAUGAGGAUCAAAUAGAUGGGGAAGCUUCUUAUAAACCACAAGAAGUUUCCCACAACCAGACAGAAGCUCUGAACAGAAGACUGGAGGCACCACGGAAAGAUGCUCAGUAAACUUCAGCACCUGUGGCUUGUGGUGGAGAUGCUGCUGGUGAAACUCAUGUAAAGUGAGCCUGUAGGAAGCUGCGGGCGCUGCUGCAAGCACUCUGCGUGCAUUCAUCGAGAUGCCACAGAGGCAACUGGGAUGCACCCAGACAGGAGGCUUCGGACACGAGGGGGAGACACAGAUUAUCUUGCUUGGACUGGGGCUGUGGGGAUGGACUGUCCUGGCCCAAGGGGUAGAGGGUGUUUAUCCUCAGAAGCAUUAAAGCAGAGGGCGGAUUCCUCCCAGGGCUUUCAGUGUGAUUUAGAGGGAAUCAGGAAAUCAAAUGAUGCAAACGUCACUAUUUGCUGGUUAAUAUGCGUGGGGAGCAGUUUGGGGAGCCUGAGGCGUGGAGAGGCUAACGCACUUGACCUCUUACCUCAUCACACAGCUGCUGCACGGCCACCUGGCCCUGCCUGGACUCAUGGUUCCCAUCCGCACACCUCCUCGGACAGGCUGCGAUGACAAAAGCCCAUGGUGUGUCUUGGGCAUCCUCCCCACCUUGGCCGCCCCAUCUGAUACCAGAGGGCAAGAGCCAGGGCGGUGAAGACAUCCACAGCCCCAGGUGCUCGUGGAGACAUGCCCCUACCCAGUGAUUUCCUCCAGCAAACCCCCUCUCAAGGAUGCCCGGUAGCUGCCGAGCACACAGUCCCUCUAAGAUGCUCCGGAGGCCUGUGGCGCAUUGCUGAUCCUUUUUGCCAGCUUUCUCUGUGGACAACCGCCCCUCUGGAAUCAGGCGGUGGCAGAAGAGAGAUCCCAAAGCUGCCCAGGGUUGGGAGGGGCAUGUCUCCUUUAAAGACAGUUGAGGUAUUCAGUUUACCAGGCGUCUGCCCCGCCCACGCCUUCUCUCCGGUCCCCUCCACUGGGGACUGGGUCUCUCCUCUCCUGGUUAUCGGGACUUCAAUUCCCAGCAAGUGAGACUAAAGACUGCAGAUUGUCUUGUGCAUCUCCCUCACUUGUGGUGGGGAAACUGAGACUAGAG